AGGACGAACGCUGGCGGCGUGCUUAACACAUGCAAGUCGAGCGGAAAGGCCCUUCGGGGUACUCGAGCGGCGAACGGGUGAGUAACACGUGAGUAACCUGCCCCUAGCUCCGGGAUAGCUCCGGGAAACCGGAAUUAAUACCGGAUACGACCUAGGCCGACAUCGGCCAUGGUGGAAAGUUUUUCGGCUAGGGAUGGACUCGCGGCCUAUCAGCUAGUUGGUGGGGUAAAGGCCUACCAAGGCGACGACGGGUAGCCGGCCUGAGAGGGCGACCGGCCACGACUGGGACUGAGACACGGCCCAGACUCCUACGGGAGGCAGCAGUGGGGAAUUUUGCGCAAUGGGGGAACCCUGACGCAGCAACGCCGCGUGGAGGAUGAAGCCCCUUGGGGCGUAAACUCCUUUCGAUCGGGAAGAUAAUGACGGUACCGAGAGAAGAAGCCCGGCUAACUUCGUGCCAGCAGCCGC
rnacentral:rRNA from 1 species